ensembl:lncRNA
GGGGUGUGUAGGGUGUGUAGGGGUGUGUAGGGUAGUGUAGGGUGUGUAGGGUGUGUAGGGUGUGUAGGGGUGUGUAGGGUGUGUAGGGGUGUGUAGGGUGUGUAGGGUGUGUAGGGUGUGUAGGGUGUGUAGGGUGUGUAGGGUGUGGGGGGUGUGUAGGGUGUGUAGGGUGUGUAGGUGUGUAGGUGUGUAGGGUGUGUAGGGUGUGAAGGUGUGUAGGUGUGUAAGGUGUGCAGGGUGUGUAGGGGUGUGUAGGGUGUGUAGGGGUGUGUAGGUGUGUAGGGUGUGUAAAGUGUGUAGGUGUGUACGGUGUGUAGGGUGUGUAAAGUGUGUAGGGUGUGUAGGUG